GCGUAAGCGCGCGCAGGUGGUUUCUUAAGUCUGAUGUGAAAGCCCACGGCUCAACCGUGGAGGGUCAUUGGAAACUGGGAGACUUGAGUGCAGAAGAGGAAAGUGGAAUUCCAUGUGUAGCGGUGAAAUGCGUAGAGAUAUGGAGGAACACCAGUGGCGAAGGCGACUUUCUGGUCUGUAACUGACACUGAGGCGCGAAAGCGUGGGGAGCAAACACGAUUACAUACCCUGGUAGUCCACGCCGUAAACGAUGAGUGCUCACUGUUAGAGGGUUUCCGCCCUUU
rnacentral:rRNA from 1 species